rnacentral:lncRNA from 1 species
CCAGCGCCACCACCCUCCUGCAUCCGCAAGCGGCGGCGCUCAGAUUAUCGACCCCCUGAAGUGAAGCCCCCCCUCGAGCUCCGGGUAUGGUGUAUCGCUCGCCUCGCCUCGCCUCCGGCAGUGAAGAAGCAUCGAGCCACAUUCAGGCGGUUCGUAAGAUCUGCCCCCCUUCCUUCUAUCUAUCCCCCCCGAUCGAUCCGCGCCAGGAAGAUCGAAAUCGGAACUCCAGAUCGAGUCUCGGAUAGAGCUCCCGAUCCGGAAACAGCUGCAGUGAUUGAACCAGAGCAGGAGGGGGACGUGAAGAGGGAAUCGUACCCGGGAGGCGCGCGGAUCAACACCUGAGAUCUCCCGGAGGCGAGGCGGGCGCCGUCGAAGGAGGACGAGGAGGCGGCGCCGUCGAAGGAGGAGGACGAGGAGGCGGCGCCGCCGCCUCCGCCUCUGGAGCUCGACUCCUGGGCCAGGGAGCGGAGGCCGGCCGCGAAGCUGUCCAUUCUCCCUCCCCUCGACGAGCCGCAAAAGCUGCGCCGCCGCGAACGAGGGAGACAGACGGUGGGGGGGUCUCUAGGGCUUCCUCUCGCCUUCAGCCGCCUCCGAGACGCGGGAGAAGGCUUUCACACGUGGGCCGAGUCGCCUCGGCCCAAUAUGCCCGCCCGCCCACCCUCCUAAAACCAUGCGGCUUUUUUUUUCAAUUUAAUUACCGCUUAAUUCAGUAAAUUCCAUCGAUAUUUCUCACGACCCGAACCUCUUGCAGAGUUUCUGCUCAUGGAAAGGAGGGGGGGCCCACUCCGGGGAGCUUCAUGGCUCCCUGGACCAGUCCCCGCUCUUGCCGCCGGUUUUCCUGUCGAGGCGGAGGUCGGUGAUCUGGAUGUCCUUGGAGGCGGCCUUGCACAUGUCGUAGACG